rnacentral:lncRNA from 1 species
AGGCGAGGAAGCAGUGAACUUUAUUAAAGUACAGAACGACAUCAAACAUGAUAGUUCCUGGCCGUGUCCUUUAGGAUCCUCAAAGGACAAAUCUAUACAUUAACAUGAUAUCCACCGUUUAGCUAGAUAACAUUAUGACCAAGUUUAUGAGAGGCGAUUCUUGUACCCCUAGCCCUUACUGUUAAUUUUAAAGAGUCAUUCUAUUCGAAAGUUAUUUAAAAUUAAUCCCCUAUCUAAUAAUCAAAAUUUUUUACCUAUAACUCUCAUUUAUCAAAUAUUAUAACACAAUACAAAUAUAGAUAUGUACUUAUAUUUCCCAGUUUUGAUUAACUUUUGAUUAAUAAUUAUUCUAUAUAUUUUUUUUCAUCCACUCUCAUAUUUUUUUUCAUUAGCAUCGCACCUCCAUACAUUAUGUUUAACAUGAAAAAUCUUUAUUUCUCAUCGCUGGCUCCCAUACAUGUACAGAUAGUUUACAUGGUAACACCAUGAUGUAUAUAUACCUUAACUUAGUAUUUUUUGACAUUUCUAUUUAAUGAACACGUGGAUAAUUAGAUUAAAAUUUAGGUGCUUAAAUUAGAUUAUUUUUAAUAAUGAAAUUUGUGGGUAAUUUUGAUACAGAUUUAGGAGGAUAUUUUAAUUUACUUUUCAUAGUAACAUGUAUGGAUAACUUGAUGAAGAUUAUGGGGUUACAUUGGAUUGUUUUUUAUAAUGGUAGCGAUGAAUCAUUUAGAUAUAGGUUUAGAAGUUUACUUUAGAAUAUUUUCAUAAUGAUAGUGUUGGAUAAUUGUUUGAAAAUAUAAUAGACAAAUAGCUACGAUUAUUAGAGACUACAGGAUUGAUGCCCGGUUCUGAUUUUUAUGAGAAUUUCUAGGAUUUAUCUUUUUUUUACUAGCUCGUGUGGUGAGAAUUGAUACAUAGUCUCCAAUUAACAAAAUGAGGGAAUAUAUCUAACAAUCAAAAUUAUAACUUUGUGAUCUCUGUAAUUUAUUAAAUUUUCUAACAUACUCUCUCCGUCUUGUAAUACAAGGCAUAGAAGCACUAAAAAUUGGUCCUCAAAUACAAAGCAUUGUAUGCAUAUUUGGAUGAUUGCUCAGUUAAUUAUUCCCAAAAUUGAUAAGAUAAGGGUGGCUGAUUGGUGGAUUAUUACUAAAAUAAGUUCUUUAUUAUAUGCAACUGCCAGUAUAAGAGCACGACAAUAUGACUUCCCACUAUAACUCAGGGGUACAUGCGUUCUUUGUUACUCAUGCUAAUACGUCCUAAAAUCUCUAGGAUAUGCCUUGUAUUUUAGGACAGAGGGAGUAAGACUUAUAUAGGUAUAUAUUUAUUUCUUCAUCAGAUUGUGAUAGACUUUAAUUAGUAAUUAGUUUAUAAACUUUUUAUCCAUAUUUAUAAUCUUUCUUUUUCACUUUGCAUUACACGCUUAAUUUAUUCAAUGGACCCUAAGUUUGAUUUAUAUAUUUUGAGCAUAGAAAUAUACAACGUGUUUGGUUUGGAGAUUCAAUUGAUCCGGCAUGGAUUCGUCCGACAUGAG